CAGCAGCCGCGGUAAUACGAAGGGGGCUAGCGUUGUUCGGAUUAACUGGGCGUAAAGGGCGCGUAGGCGGGUUUUUAAGUCAGAGGUGAAAUCCCAAGGCUCAACCUUGGAACUGCCUUUGAUACUGGAAGUCUUGAGUCCGGGAGAGGUGAGUGGAACUGCGAGUGUAGAGGUGAAAUUCGUAGAUAUUCGCAAGAACACCAGUGGCGAAGGCGGCUCACUGGCCCGGUACUGACGCUGAGGCGCGAAAGCGUGGGGAGCAAACAGGAUUAGAUACCCCUGUAGUCCCUGUCUCUUAUAC
rnacentral:rRNA from 1 species